rnacentral:lncRNA from 1 species
GCGGAAUUCUCCACGAGUUUUGAGCAGCGUCGGUUUUCCCACCACCUCCAAAUCAUGCAAUAAGAGCAAAGACAAGGUGGCUGUGGCCGAUGUCCACCCUCUCGGGACGUCCCUUCUCUUCUCUCCUCCUUGGGCAGGGAGACCAUCGGGGUGCAACCUGGCUGGGGCGGGGAGGAGGUGCAGGGCCUGGCCAGAGCGGGCCUGGCCACGGGCAAGGGACAGCGACGCCUGGGCCGGGGCAGGUGAGCGCGGCGCAGGCCCCGGCCCGCCGUGUCCGCGGUGCGCGCGAGCGGCCAGCAGAGGGCGCCAGAGAGCCAGGAGCGGCCCGCGGAGGAGCCCGCGCCGGCCCCGAUGCCCAGCUCCGCGCCGCGCGGACCCACCGAGCCCGCGCUCAGACGCUCCAGCUCCGCCGAGAGGCCGCUCGCGCCGGGUCCUUCCUCUUCCCCAAGUGCAGGCAGAGCCCCCGGAGCCAUGGCCAGCCCUUCCGGCAGCUCCGAAGCCACUGGCAAGCCCCGAGGCAGGGAUGGCCGGCCCAGGAGGGAGGAGGACGACGUCCCUCCCGAGGAGAAGAGGCUGCGCCUGGGGCUGGAGGGGGGAAGCGCACAGCCCGAGGACUGCGAGGACGGGGAGGACGCGCCGCGGCCGGGCAGGGAGGAGACCGGCACCCAGACAGGUGGCGACGGCAGAGGA